CUUAAGGACACUUUUUAAAAAUGCACUUUGUAAUAAUAUCUAAUUAAUUUUAAAUUAUAGUAAGUACACUUUCAACAUAAUAUUUAUAAACACACUUAAGUGGACUUUUAAAAAUGCACUUUUUAAUACUGUCUAAUUAAGCUUAACUUAUAGUAAGUACACUUUCAUCACAAUAUUUCUUAACAUACCUAAUUACACUUUUUAAAAAUGCACUUUGUCUAAUUUAGUUUUACUUAAAUGUAACCCUGGUUAAAUAAUUAAAUAUUAUUAUUUUAAAAGUGUGCUUAAAUGUAAUAGAGACUAUUCAUACAUCUACAUUUAUUUUAUAAAUGAGGAAAUACAUGUGAAUAAUUCAAUCUGAAUUAUAAAUCUGAAAUGAGUAAACCAAUCGGAGUGUUUAAUUGUAAGCUCCGCCCCUUUUUUGCUUUCGGAUCGCGUCUCAGUUCAGAGGAGAGAUGCAGAGCGACAGAGACACUCGAUCUAACGCGAGAGUGUUUAAUUUGAUUAAAUAUGACUCUUAAGUUCAUAUAAACUGAAGAGAUCAGAAUUUAACUUGCAUAUAUUCAAUGAUACAGCGUGAUUGUGUGGAUUGAGCACUUUUUGAGCUUUCAUUUUGACCUGUGUGAUUAUGUAAAACCACAUGGUGCGUUGUGUUCACUGCUGUUCGCUGACGCCAUUUUGGUUGCACGUGCCUGUGAAAGACAAAAAGAGAGAGAAACACGUGAAUGGACAGCUGGAUUUUCCUAAUUGAUGGCGAGCCUCCCAUUUCGACCUGAUUGGAUCACGAAUCUAGAGGAAAGGACAAUUUUCUAUUUUAAAUAUUUUUCUUCAGACAAGUAAGAGGAUACAUUUCAGAAACUGUUUCCUUAUUUUGUUUGUUUACUUUAUUGAACUGAAACAUUUCAGAAGCACAAUUCUGAUAAUUUAAGACUGAUCAAUACUCCAAUUGAUAAGAACUUUGAACUUGAAUACUGAUUUCAGUGUGUUACAUAUAUAAUUUGUACCAUCUUUGUACAUUGAUUGUGACUGUGAUUUCUGUAAAUGAGAAGUAAUUUAGAGGGUGCACCCAUAGUAUAUAUGUGACCAGUCACGGAAAGUAGGGACACAAGUCGGAUCUGGGCAUUUUGAGUUAUUCACAGAUUCUGAAAGUGCAGUUUCUAAGCUUUCCAACGAUGUGUAUCACAUGGAAAUCUGAUAAGAUUUGGAGAAGUUGUGGCCAUUUGAAUAUAGGAACUCAGAAAUACUCAAACCGAGAAAAUCGAGACGAAAGGGACUCUUCUUUUCAGCUGGGGGAGACAAUAGGGCUCACUUACAUCUCAUUUAGCUAAGCCAUGCCCCCUGUAAAACCCUUUUUGAGAUGUUCUAGCAUCAUAUGUAGUAUUUUAUGACCAAAUGACAACCCGCAAAAAUAAACAUGACUCUUUUACCUUUGUGGGGAUCACAAGUCGAAUCCAGUCUGUUUCAGAUUAUCCAAUGUCCCUAUUUGUCCACAAAUGCGUAUAAUCCGUGAAAUAUAGAUUGUUUACAUCAGAUUUCGCAUGAAUGUCUGGUAAUACAAUAUAAUAUAUAAUCUGAAGACUAUUUAAAUCGUAACAUGUAAGGGUAUAUGAGCUUACACUCCGUUAAACACAUGAACCCGCCUUCAAAGUUUGUAUUUAAAAUAGGGAAGUAGUAUAAUAGAUCAUCCAAACAGCGCCGUCGAAAACGUGACAUCCUUUAGAGAGGUUACCAAUGGCUCGCUCGUUCCUCCAUCAGCCAAUGACUUCAUGGAAAAUAUUGAUAGACAAAACAUGUAGCCAAUUAUAUGAAGAAUACAACUAUAUCUGUGUAACUUCUGUGUGUUUGGACUCAUGCUGCGCUGCAAGAACUGACAUACAGAUGACGUCAAAGUACCGCGAGAGCGAGUCGAAAUUAAACUACUCCGUAAGAUUUCUUGAAGAGCUCUCGCGGUACUUUGACGUCAUCCGCCUGCAGCGCCCCAUAAAGUCAGUGACGCGGCUGACGUACGAUGCGGCUGACUGUUAUUUGUUCCGCCCCAGCUUCUUUUAUUUUUCUUUUGUUUUGUGCGCCCGAGCUUUACAGUCUGGGGAGACGCAGGCUAUAAGUUUGAAAAAAAAAAAAAAAACUUAGCAAACAUGUCUGAGGAACAGGGCAGCGCGUCACUACAGUCACGUGACUUCACGCUCGAGCCGGAAGAGAAGACAAUGCUGAAUAAAGUCGUAAUUCUGCUAUUUUUGGACCAAACUGUAUUUUCGAUGCAUCAACACAAUCUCCUGACCCACUGAUGUCACAUGGACUACUUUGAUGAUGUUUUUAUUAACUUUCUGGACAUGGAAACCAUACAUAGAUUUUCAAUGAAGGGGAAAGCUCUCGGACUAAAUCUAACGAUAAAACAUCUUAAACUGUGUUCCGAAGAUGAACGGAGGUCUUCCGAGUUUAGAACGACAUAAGGGUGAGUCAUUAAUUACAUUAUUUUCAUUUUUGGGCGAACUAUCCUUAUUUAGUAGUCACGCUGUUCCCUUUGUGGGCGGAGGCGAAAACACAAGCUUAUACAGUAUGUAAAUAUACACACAGACAAUGACGCCCCCCGCUGCACUCUAGAAUCUCCGGAAAAACAAGCCUAUUUUAACCGCAAAAUGUACGCUUUUAAAUAUACAAAAACUGCUAUCUCAAACAUGGAGAGGCUUCUUCGUGAUCUCAACUAACAGAUUCUUCAAUAAAACGAAAAUCACAAAUUUCGAAAAAAAACUUUGUUUCUCAUUUUCUCGAAACUUGUGCUGCCGACUUGAGUCCCUGGUUUCCGUGACGGGUCACAUAUAGUUAAUUGUAUUUUCAUUGUUGUUACUAUUUUUUGUGAUUAAGGAAAGAAUUAGAAAGGUUUCUCAAUACUCAAAGUAAAAUAAUUUAUUAAUCAACUUA